rnacentral:rRNA from 1 species
CCCUUAGAUGUCCGGGGCUGCACGCGCGCUACACUGAAGGAAUCAGCGUGCUAAAACCAUUGUCGAAAGGCAUUGGUAAACCCAUUAAAAUCCUACGUGAUUGGGAUCGGGAAUUGCAAUUAUUUCCCUUGAACGAGGAAUUCCCAGUAAGUGUGGGUCAUAAGCUCGCGUUGAUUACGUCCCUGCCCUUUGUACACACCGCCCGUCGCUGCCCGAGACUGAGCCGUUUCGAGAAAAGCGGGGACUGCUGCUGUCGGGGCUUUCGGGCCUUGGCUUCGGUGGAAACCGCUUUAAUCGCAGUGGCUUGAACCGGGCAAAAGUCGUAACA